AUUGAACGCUGGCGGCAGGCCUAACACAUGCAAGUCGAACGGUAACAGGAAGCAGCUUGCUGCUUCGCUGACGAGUGGCGGACGGGUGAGUAAUGUCUGGGAAGCUGCCUGAUGGAGGGGGAUAACUACUGGAAACGGUAGCUAAUACCGCAUAAUGUCGCAAGACCAAAGAGGGGGACCUUCGGGCCUCUUGCCAUCGGAUGUGCCCAGAUUGGAUUAGCUUGUUGGUGGGGUAACGGCUCACCAAGGCGACGAUCCCUAGCUGGUCUGAGAGGAUGACCAGCCACACUGGAACUGAGACACGGUCCAGACUCCUACGGGAGGCAGCAGUGGGGAAUAUUGCACAAUGGGCGCAAGCCUGAUGCAGCCAUGCCGCGUGUAUGAAGAAGGCCUUCGGGUUGUAAAGUACUUUCAGCGGGGAGGAAGGGAGUAAAGUUAAUACCUUUGCUCAUUGACGUUACCCGCAGAAGAAGCACCGGCUAACUCCGUG
rnacentral:rRNA from 1 species